rnacentral:rRNA from 1 species
UGGGGAAUAUUGCACAAUGGGCGCAAGCCUGAUGCAGCCAUGCCGCGUGUAUGAAGAAGGCCUUCGGGUUGUAAAGUACUUUCAGCGGGGAGGAAGGCGAUAAGGUUAAUAACCUUGUCGAUUGACGUUACCCGCAGAAGAAGCACCGGCUAACUCCGUGCCAGCAGCCGCGGUAAUACGGAGGGUGCAAGCGUUAAUCGGAAUUACUGGGCGUAAAGCGCACGCAGGCGGUCUGUCAAGUCGGAUGUGAAAUCCCCGGGCUCAACCUGGGAACUGCAUUCGAAACUGGCAGGCUAGAGUCUUGUGGAGGGGGGUAGAAUUCCAGGUGUAGCGGUGAAAUGCGUAGAGAUCUGGAGGAAUACCGGUGGCGAAGGCGGCCCCCUGGACAAAGACUGACGCUCAGGUGCGAAAGCGUGGGGAGCAAACA